GCCUGGGUGGCUCAGUCGGUUGAGCAUCUGACUUCGGCUCAGGUCAUGAUCUCACAGUCUGUGAGUUUGAGCCCCGCGUCGGGCU
rnacentral:tRNA from 1 species